UUGUUGAAACCAUCUGGCAACCCUAUGUCUCUCAGGUUGGACACUGAAAAUAGCUCAGUGUUAUAUUUAUAAUCAGUGGCUGAGCAAUUUUACUUUGAAGUGCACAUGCACAGCACUGGAUUUGCCAACAAAGUAGGACGGGCUACUGUUAUUUUUCUUUUACAGUUUCUGGUUUCUUCGACUCUAUAUUUUGGCAGAUGAGUUUUCAGAGCACUUGGAAAAUUAGAAGGUGCAGUAAGCUAAGUGCACUAAAGGGAGACAAAAAGACGCUGGGAGCAGUUGAAAUUUCAAACGCAGGUAACGGUUUAAAUCAUCUGCCACUCAAAAACAGUUGGCACUUUCUUCAGCCUGUGGUGAGCCUGCUAAGUGGGGGACUACAACUCCCAUCAGCCUCUUUUCCACAUGUGAAUCCCUUUUCCCAGCUAGGUGGGAGGGAAGGGCCUUGACCCAGGAAGUGACUGGGCUCUCCUGGGAAGGGGCAGCUGCAUGGCUACCCAGGAAGUGCUAGAAGCUGGAUGGAGAGGAGAUCCCCCAGGGCCUAUCUGCAGAGUCCCACGUGGAACAGGCUGUGACUGUCAGACAUCCCACCUAGCUGCAGGGAAUGAGAUGCUGCCAAUUGGCGCAACAGAAGCAGCAAUAUGAGCAUUCAAAGAACCUUUGGACUGAAGUUGAAUUAAAAUACUUGAGAACGAAUCACGAGUAAGUUUUGUGAGGAGGAGGUCUUGUAAUGAACCAUUAGCAUGAACCUGCAGACCAAUGAGUAUUGCCACAUGUUGCUGCGUGACAAAGCUACAGAUUGAAGGGGAAACAGCACAAGGGAAAACUACAGAAAAGAGCCUUACGGAAAAAUUGAAAAACCCGUAAGGAAUUUUGCCAUUGACUUCAACAAAGCCAGGAUUUAAUCCACAGAAUGUAAUGGAAAAUUAUCACCAUUUCUAUAGGCUGUUUGAAUGAUCAUGUAGAAAUUUAUGGAAAAGACAGUCCUCUAUUAAAUGCUACAGAAUCAUCAAAAACAAAACAAAAAAUGCCUACAAAAAUGCAGCCCUUCUUAUUAAAUUCUACAGGAUUUCUCCCAAUGGGAGACUGUAGAAAUCGGCUUUUAAAAUGUAUGGCACACUGAACCUCCAUAUCUGAAAUGACAAUAAUGUAAAACAGAGACAUUGGAGAAAUUUGCUGUCAGCUUUCUCAAAACUGCCCUGCCAUCCUGCAUGAACUUUGGCAUGGAUUUCAAUACAGCUAUUGAAACAGAAAAGAAAGAGAAACAAAGUCUAGGAGAGCAGAACUCUUGCACUCAGCCCCAUAUGCUAGGCUAACUUUUUGCCAAGUGGUUUGAGAUUUCAAAGUGGUAAUGCUGUGACUCCUAAACUCUGGGCCAGCAGAUGAGCCCAUGCCUGACAAUCCAGCAUGGAGGAACCAGUGACGCCUAAAAGACAUCAGGAAGCGACAGUGAUCCUUCCCUAAUCCAAAACCCACUGUAGUCAUGGGCAAAUUUCCAUUAACUUCAACAGGGCUUUGGAUCAGGCCCUAGAUGAAGCUGCAUCAUCAAAAGUAAAAUCGACAUGUGCUAGAUGACAACACAAGACCCAUUGAGAACUGACCAGCUGGCACAGAUUAAUGUGGCAAUGGCUUGACAGGACACGAUGCAGCACAGUUGCCAUUUGAAAUGCCGUGACUGAGUUGCAAAGUUAAGAGCGACCUUGGUCCAAUGGUCCCAAAGAGAGACGAUCAAAGAGAGCAGCCGGACAAUUAAACUGCACUAUACCAGAGCACGGUAGAAUUAUUGCAGAAGAGUACAAAAGGAGUAUCCAAUGUUGCUAAAACACAAAGGCCUUUAGGCAUUUAGAAAUGUACUAUGGCACCUACUUUGUCAAGCACCUGGCACCUUCAGAUUUUAAGAAAUGAACUGUAAAACAGCAGAGGACUGGCCUUUCAACGUAUAGGCGUAUCAUCCUUAUUUGGUGACAAAAGAUGCAACAAGAAAAGCUCAGCCUCUGUGUUUCAUCAUCAUUGCUAAGAUCCUGUUUCACUGCUGUCUGAUAUCAGGAGCAAGUUUGAGCUGGAUUCAAGCUAUUUGCUGCCUACGGAUUCAUUCAUGCCCGAUGGGUAUGCUGCUAAAACAAAGGAGCACUGCAUCAUGGACACACAGGAGGCUUGGCACUUAGAUUCAUGGAGGACCCGGGAUGCAAUCUGGAUGGUGGACAGUGUUUCAGUGUAAUUUCCUGCCACUGCCGAAAUGUGAGCUAUCAU